rnacentral:rRNA from 1 species
GAUGAACGCUGGCGGCGUGCAUAACACAUUCAAGUCGAACGGUGAUGAGGACUUCGGUCCUCUGAUCAGUGGCGGACGGGUGAGUAACGCGUGAGCAACCUGCCCUUGUGUGGGGGAUACCGUCUGGAAACGGACGUUAAUACCGCAUAAUAUAGCGGAAUCGCAUGGUUCUGCUAUCAAAGAUUUAUUGCGCAAGGAUGGGCUCGCGUUGGAUUAGAUAGUUGGUGAGGUAACGGCCCACCAAGUCUGCGAUCCAUAGCCGGACUGAGAGGUUGACCGGCCACAUUGGGACUGAGAUACGGCCCAGACUCCUACGGGAGGCAGCAGUGGGGAAUAUUGGGCAAUGGGCGCAAGCCUGACCCAGCAACGCCGCGUGAAGGAAGAAGGCUUUCGGGUUGUAAACUUCUUUUGUUCGAGGAAGAGUAGAAGACUGUACUCGGCGAAUAAGCCACGGCUAACUACGUG